AGUCGGCCUUGGGCGGCACAGGUGUAGGCUGUCUGUCUUGCCCUGAGGUCAGCGGUUAAAGCAGGUGAAGCCCCCGAGAGGCUCAAGACUUGUACAGCAUCUUCUAGUUUCAAGGGCAGCCCUCUUCUCACCCCACUUACCUGGUUCUGGCUGAGAAGAACGGUGCUUGCUCUAAGGGCCCGUGGGAGCUGGAAGGGGCAGCUCAGAAGCCCAGAGAGGCACUGAGGACGUGGAGUCUUUGGCGGCUGUGGCAGCCGGGACUGGAGCUCAGACCACAGGGCAAGGACUGUAGUGGCUCCUAAGAAACUCAGCAGCUUGUCUGACUCGGCAAGGUUGGUUUUCUGCCCAAGGCUUCACUGGCUGAAGUCAGGGUGUCGGCUGGCUGAGAAGGAGCCACAACCGUACCCCUUGGAUCUCCAGUUCACUCUGAAGCAGGGACCUCUUCAACUUAGGGGUCAUAGACCCAGGCAGAUCCUCUGCACCUCUCUGGGCAAGGCACCAUCGGCAGCACACGGGAUCUUUAGUUGCAGCAUGCAGGAUCUAGUUUCCUGGCCAGGGAUUGAAUCCGGGCCCCCCUGCAUUGGGAAUGCAGAGUCUUAGCCAUUGGACCACCGGGGAAGUUCUAGCAGACCAGCUCAUGGCAACCACCAUCCUAUGUUCUAUCUCUAUGAAUUUGACAACAGUGAACAUGAAGAAGCUCAGUCAUGUCCGACUCUUUGCGACCCCGUGGACUGUAGCCCACCAGGCUCCUCCGUCCAUGGGAUUCUCCAGGCAAGAAUACUUGAAGCAUCCUCGGCACACGGGCUUAGCUGCACACGCCAUGGGGGAUCUUCUUGGAGCAGGGAUCAAACCCAUGUCCUCUGUAGUGGCAGGCAGAUUCUUAACCACUGGACCACCAGGGGAGUCCCCCCUAUAUUUCCUGGUUAUUUUGGUGGUUACAAGUUGCUCAAGAUUCUCCAAACCAGGCUUCAACCGUAUGUGAACCCAUGAACUUCCAGAUGUUCAAGCUGGAUUUCGAAAAGGCAGAGGAACCAGAGAUCAAAUUGCCAACAUUUCAUUGGAUCAUCAAAAAAGCAAGAGAAUACCAGAAAAACAUCUACUUCUGCUUCAUUGUGACAAAAAGCCUUUGACUGUGUGGAUCACAACAAACUGUGGAAAAUUCUUCAAGAGAUGGGCAUACCAGACCACCUUACCUGUCUCUUGAGAAGUCUGUAUGCAGGUCAAGAAGCAACAGUUAGAACCGGACAUGGAACAACAGACUGGUUCCAAAUUGGGAAAGGAGUAUGUCAAGGCUAUGUAUUGUCACCCUGCUUAUUUAACUUAUAUGCAGAGUACAUCGUGUGAAAUGCCAGGCUGGAUGAAGCACAAUUUGAAAUCAAUAUUGCCAGGAGAAAUAUCAAUAACCUCAGAUAUGCAGAUGACAUCACCCUUAUGGCAGAAAGCAAAGAAGAACUAAAGAGCCUCUUGAUGAAAGUGAAAGAGAAGGGUGAAAAAGCUGGCUUGAAACUCAACAUUCAAAAACAAGAUCAUGGCAUCUGGUCCAUGGUUAUGGCAUCACUUCAUGUCAAAUAGGUGGGGAAACAAAGGAAACAGUGACACACUUUAUUUUUCUGGGCUCCAAAAUCACUGCAGAUGGUGACCGCAGCCAUGAAAUUAAAAGAUGCUUGCUCCUUGGAAGACAAACUAUGACCAACCUAGACAGCAUAUUAAAAAGCAGACAUUACUUUGCCAACAAAGGUCCAUCUAGUCAAAGCUAUGGUUUUUGUAGUAGUCAUGUAUGGAUGUGAGAGUUGGACUAUAAAGAAAGCUGAGCACCAAAGAAUUGAUGCUUUAGAACUGUGGUGUUGGAGAAGACUCUUGAGAGUCCCUUGGACAGCAGGGAAAUCAAACCAGUCCAUCCUAAAGGAAAUCAGUCCUGAGCAUUCAUUGGAAGGACUGAUGCUGAAGCUGAAACUCUAGUCCUUUGGCCACCUGAUGCGAAGAACUGACUCACUGGAAAAGACCCUGAUGCUGGUAAAGAUUGAAGGCAGGAGGAGAAGGGGACAACAGAGGAUGAGAUGGUUGGAUGGCAUCACUGACUUGAUGGACAUGGGUUUGAGCAAGCUCUGGGAGUUGUUGGUGAUGGACAGGGAAGCCUGGCAUGCUGCAGGUCUUGGGGUCACAAAGAGUCAGACACGACUGAGUGAACUGAACUGAAUAAUAGUGCUAUGAAUAAUCCUACACAGGUUUCUGUGUAAACACUUGUUUUCAUUUCUCUGGGAUAAUAUCCAGGAAUGCAUUUGCUGGAUCACGUCAUAAGUGUAUGUUUAGCUUUUUCUCCAGUGACUGUACCAUUUUCCCUGCCCACCAGCAAUAUAUGAGAACAAGUUUCUUCACAUUCUUGCCAGCAUUUGGUACUGUCACUGUUUUUCAUUUUAACUGUUGUAAUAGGCGUGUAAAGUGUUAAUCUCAUUUUCCUACUGGCUGGUACUGCUGACUAUCUUUUCAGGUGCUUAUUUGCC